GAUGAACGCUGGCGGCGUGCCUAAUACAUGCAAGUCGAACGCAUAGCGAAAGGUGCUUGCACCUUUCAAGUGAGUGGCGAACGGGUGAGUACCACGUGGACAACCUGCCUCAAGGCUGGGGAUAACAUUUGGAAACAGAUGCUAAUACCGAAUAAAACUUAGUGUCGCAUGACACAAAGUUAAAAGGCGCUUCGGCGUCACCUAGAGAUGGAUCCGCGGUGCAUUAGUUAGUUGGUGGGGUAAAGGCCUACCAAGACAAUGAUGCAUAGCCGAGUUGAGAGACUGAUCGGCCACAUUGGGACUGAGGCACGGCCCAAACUCCUACGGGAGGCUGCAGUAGGGAAUCUUCCACAAUGGGCGAAAGCCUGAUGGAGCAACGCCGCGUGUGUGAUGAAGGCUUUCGGGUCGUAAAGCACUGUUGUAUGGGAAGAACAGCUAGAAUAGGAAAUGAUUUUAGUUUGACGGUACCAUACCAGAAAGGGACGGCUAAAUACGUG
rnacentral:rRNA from 1 species